AACGAACGCUGGCGGCGUGCCUAACACAUGCAAGUCGAGCGCGAAAAGGGCAACCUGAGUAGAGCGGCGCACGGGUGCGUAACACGUGGAUAAUCUACCUUUGGGUCUGGGAUAACUCUUCGAAAGAAGUGCUAAUACCGGAUAAGCUCACAGGGUCUUCGGACCCAGUGGGAAACGUAGGCCUCUAUUUAUAAGCUUACACCUAAAGAUGAGUCCGCGGCCCAUCAGCUAGUUGGCGGGGUAAUGGCCCACCAAGGCAACGACGGGUAGCUGGUCUGAGAGGACGAUCAGCCACACUGGAACUGAGACACGGUCCAGACUCCUACGGGAGGCAGCAGUGGGGAAUUUUCCACAAUGGGCGAAAGCCUGAUGGAGCAACGCCGCGUGUGUGAUGAAGGUCUUCGGAUCGUAAAGCACUUUCGACCGGGACGAAAAACCUCUGGCUAACAUCCAGGGGCCUUAUGGUACCGGGAGAACAANCACCGGCCAACUCUGUGCCAGCCGCCGCAGUAACAC
rnacentral:rRNA from 1 species